CUUCCCCUCCCUUACUCCAGUCACUCUGUACUCAGUGGGGUGGUCUGGCAUUGACAGGGGAUACAGCACUGUGGCCCUCUCAUCUAGGACUAUUCUCCUUUUAUAGAGAGAGCUGACAAU
rnacentral:snoRNA from 1 species